rnacentral:rRNA from 1 species
CUACGGGUUGCUGCAGUGAGGAAUAUUGCACAAUGGGGGGAACCCUGAUGCAGCAACGCCGCGUGGAGGAUGACGCAUUUCGGUGUGUAAACUCCUUUUAUAUGUCAAGAAAAUGACGGUAGCAUAUGAAUAAGCGCCGGCUAACUCCGUGCCAGCAGCCGCGGUAAUACGGAGGGCGCAAGCGUUACUCGGAAUCACUGGGCGUAAAGGACGCGUAGGCGGGUUGAAAAGUCAGGUGUGAAAGCCUACAGCUUAACUGUAGAACUGCACUUGAGACUCUCAAUCUAGAGUAUGGGAGGGGCAGAUGGAAUUAGUGGUGUAGGGGUAAGAUCCGUAGAUAUCACUAGGAAUACCUAAAGCGAAGGCGAUCUGCUGGAACAUUACUGACGCUAAGGCGUGAAAGCGUGGGGAGCAAACAGGAUUAGAUACCCGCGUAGUC